UACGUAGGGUGCGAGCGUUGUCCGGAAUUAUUGGGCGUAAAGGGCGUGUAGGCGGUUCGUUAAGUCUGAUGUGAAAGCCCCGGGCUCAACCUGGGAAGUGCAUUGGAAACUGGCGAACUUGAGUACGGGAGAGGGCAGUGGAAUUCCUAGUGUAGGAGUGAAAUCCGUAGAUAUUAGGAGGAACACCGGUGGCGAAGGCGGCUGCCUGGACCGAUACUGACGCUGAGACGCGAAAGCGUGGGGAGCAAACAGG
rnacentral:rRNA from 1 species